rnacentral:rRNA from 1 species
UACGUAGGGUGCGAGCGUUAAUCGGAAUUACUGGGCGUAAAGCGUGCGCAGGCGGUUUUGUAAGCCAGAUGUGAAAUCCCCGGGCUUAACCUGGGAAUGGCAUUUGGGACUGCAAGGCUGGAGUGUGGCAGAGGAGACUGGAAUUCCUGGUGUAGCAGUGAAAUGCGUAGAUAUCAGGAGGAAUACCGAUGGCGAAGGCAGGUCUCUGGGCUGACACUGACGCUCAUGCACGAAGCGUGGGAGCAACAGGAUU